rnacentral:rRNA from 1 species
GACGAACCGUGCGAACGUUAUUCGGAAUCACUGGGCUUAAAGCGCGUGUAGGCGGAUGGGGACGUCGGUCGCUGAAAUCCCCCGGCUCAACCGGGGAACGGGCGCCGAAACGCCCCGUCUGGAGGGACGUAGGGGGACCUGGAACUUCCGGUGGAGCGGUGAAAUGCGUUGAGAUCGGAAGGAACGCCCGUGGCGAAAGCGAGGUCCUGGACGUCUUCGUGACGCUGAGACGCGAAAGCUAGGGUACGCGGAACGGG